rnacentral:rRNA from 1 species
GAUGAACGCUGGCGGCGUGCCUAACACAUGCAAGUCGAGCGAGAUAAAUGUGAGUGGAGACUUCGGUCAAAGCGAUCAUUUUGAAAGCGGCGGACGGGUGAGUAACGCGUGAGCAAUCUGCCCCAUACAAAGGGAUACCCACUGGAAACGGUGAUUAAUAACUUAUAAGACCACGAAGUCGCCUGGCUUAGUGGCCAAAGAUUUAUCGGUAUGGGAUGAGCUCGCGUCUGAUUAGCUAGUUGGUGAGGUAAUGGCUCACCAAGGCGACGAUCAGUAGCCGACCUGAGAGGGUGAACGGCCACACUGGAACUGAGACACGGUCCAGACGCCUACGGGAGGCAGCAGGGGGGAAUAUUGCACAAUGGGCGCAAGCCUGAUGCAGCAACGCCGCGUGAAUGAUGAAGGCCUUCGGGUCGUAAAGUUCUGUCCUAAGGGAAGAAUACAGUGACGGUACCUUAGGAGGAAGCCCCGGCUAACUACGUGCCAGCCGCCGCCGUAA